CAGAAGAUAGCAUGGAUGAUGACAAAAAUGAUUUCCGUCGAUCCAGAAAGAAAAAACACAGGGCUGAUGUAGGUACCUUUGAACUCUUUUUUUUGACAUCAUUUUGUACACAUGAUUAACCAGAAACUUGUCUUGUGGUUCAUUGCAGAUUGAAGUGAUCACUGCCUCUGGAAGACGUAUCAAAAGGAGGAAUUUGGAUGAUUCGGAUGGAAAUACGCUUGGACUUAACCGAGCAAGGAAAUCACAGGUUGUCCGCAAAACUUCGAAGAGGAAGUCCUCCAAACCUAAGGCAUUGUUGAGACCUCAAAGAGCUCGAAGAGC
rnacentral:lncRNA from 1 species